rnacentral:rRNA from 1 species
UACGUAGGGACCGAGCGUUGUCCGGAAUCAUUGGGCGUAAAGAGCGUGUAGGCGGCCUUUUAAGUCCUGCGUGAAAUCCUGCGGCUCAACCGCAGACGGUCGUGGGAAACUGGAAGGCUAGAGUGCGGGAGAGGAGAGUGGAAUUCCCGGUGUAGCGGUGAAAUGCGCAGAUAUCGGGAAGAACACCCGUGGCGAAGGCGGCUCUCUGGAUCGGUACUGACGCUGAGGUGCGAAAGCGUGGGGAGCAAACAGG